UAAAAAUGUAGGUGGGGGUCAGAAUAUAUAUGAGGGGUCUUUCAUAUCACACCAAGAAAGAUGUAUAUGAUAGGUGAUACGGAGUCACUAAAAUAAUUUAAGUAAAAUAAGCAGAAUUUUACAUUUUAGAAAGAUUCAUGUGGUUUAAUGGAAGGUUUGGAGCAGGGCGAGAUUGGAGGCAGGGUGGCAAGAGAGAGGAGCACUUCAUUAAUGCGGGAAAGCAAAGAGGAAAGCUUGAUAGAAGGCAGAGACUGCUGGGACACAGGGCAGUGAGGAAGGUCAGAUGGACACUUAGGGUGUGGAAUACACAGGAUCACUUAGAGGUAGUGGUAACUGAGCAGUACUCAGAAAGAUUGCUUUUUGUAUACACGGAAAGAAAUGUCAUGAUGUACACCAUAAAUAUAUAUACCAUUUUUAUUUGUUAGUUAUGCAUUAAUAAAGCUGAGGGAUAAAAGAUUGCUUUUUGUUUGUUUUAUUUAUUUGUUUUUGUUUAAUGGAAGCCUGGGACACUAUGAUGCAUUCAUUUUGUACUUGUUGCAUUUGAGGUGAGAUAUUUACUUGCGCCUGCCUACAAUGAGCUGCUGGUGAUCUGGCGGUUAAGUCAAAAUACCAAUCAAUGUGCCAGAUUGUUCUAUUGUCUACUUGGUUAUGUUUGGGACUAUGUUUUUCAGACUCUCCCUUUCUACAUAAUUUCAGAUUGGAGUUGGUCCAAAGGGAAGUUGUGAGUUCUGGGAGGCAGAAGGAAAGCAGCUGCCAUGUUCUGAAGGUUAUCAGCACCUGUUGGUGAUAGAAACAGACACAGAGGUGUUAGCAGGUUCCUGUUUGUCCUCGCACCCCCCUCCCUCCUGAUGGUGACCUUGUCCCAGGUCUUCUACCAGGCCUUCUACCAGAUGCUUUGCUGAGAAUUCACAGAGGCCGUAGACCUGAAGAACCAACAACCUUCCAUAGGCUUUGAGGUCCCACUCCGGCAGCAGGACGUGCUGGCUCCCAGGAAUCACUGUGACCACUAUUCUAAAUUCCUUAUGUGUUCAGAAUU
rnacentral:lncRNA from 10 species